rnacentral:rRNA from 1 species
CCUACGGGGGGCUGCAGUGGGGAAUAUUGGACAAUGGGCGAAAGCCUGAUCCAGCCAUGCCGCGUGAGUGAUGAAGGCCCUAGGGUUGUAAAGCUCUUUCAACGGUGAAGAUAAUGACGGUAACCGUAGAAGAAGCCCCGGCUAACUUCGUGCCAGCAGCCGCGGUAAUACGAAGGGGGCUAGCGUUGUUCGGAAUUACUGGGCGUAAAGCGCACGUAGGCGGAUUGGCAAGUUAGGGGUGAAAUCCCGGGGCUCAACCCCGGAACUGCCUUUAAAACUGCCGGUCUAGAGUUCGAGAGAGGUGAGUGGAAUUCCGAGUGUAGAGGUGAAAUUCGUAGAUAUUCGGAGGAACACCAGUGGCGAAGGCGGCUCACUGGCUCGAUACUGACGCUGAGGUGCGAAAGCGUGGGGAGCAAACAGGAUUAGAUACCCUAGUAGUC